rnacentral:rRNA from 1 species
AUUGAACGCUGGCGGCAGGCUUAACACAUGCAAGUCGAGCGGAGAGAGGUAGCUUGCUACUGAUCUUAGCGGCGGACGGGUGAGUAAUGCUUAGGAAUCUGCCUAUUAGUGGGGGACAACAUUUCGAAAGGAAUGCUAAUACCGCAUACGUCCUACGGGAGAAAGCAGGGGAUCUUCGGACCUUGCGCUAAUAGAUGAGCCUAAGUCGGAUUAGCUAGUUGGUGGGGCAAAGGCCUACCAAGGCGACGAUCUGUAGCGGGUCCGAGAGGAUGAUCCGCCACACUGGGACUGAGACACGGCCCAGACUCCUACGGGAGGCAGCAGUGGGGAAUAUUGGACAAUGGGCGGAAGCCUGAUCCAGCCAUGCCGCGUGUGUGAAGAAGGCCUUAUGGUUGUAAAGCACUUUAAGCGAGGAGGAGGCUACUUUAGUUAAUACCUAGAGAUAGUGGACGUUACUCGCAGAAUAAGCACCGGCUAACUCUGUACCAGCAGCCGCAGUAA